rnacentral:rRNA from 1 species
UCCAAGCAUUGGAAAAGCUCACCACGUUUGAACUCAAAGAAUUACAGCGACGACAAGAUGAGCAGGAAAGACUGCGACGAACCGGUUCACCGCGCACCUCAACUCCAACUCGAUCACCGGAAAAGUUGGAAACUACUUUUCCAGCCGAAAGUGGUGGCCGAACUGAAACCACUUUGGGCGUGGACGAAGAAAGGCGCAGGCAACUGCAUUCUUCAGAAAGUCCCGGUUGGCGUAUAAGUUUGUCUCGAAGCAAAUAUUUUGAUGCAAAUGAUUCCGUCGGAACGGAAAGCGCCGAAGGUUUUGAAGGUCAUUUGAUCCGAAAGCAUACUUGGGAAACGUUGGAUAGAAAAGCGUCCAUUCGCUCUUGGGACAAAUUGUACUGUGUAAUUCGUGGAAGUCAGCUUGAAUUUUACAAAGACCACAAGCACCGAGAGGAUGGGGAACUUUAUCGUGGUGAAACGCCUAUCAAUUUGGUCGGUUGGAACGUGGAAAUUGCUUCAUCGUACACCAAGCGACGCAACGUGCUCUCUUUGAGAUCCCCAGCCGGUUUUGAAUACUUGCUGCAAGCUAGGGAUGAGGACGAUAUGCUGCGAUGGUUGCAUCAACUGAGAACUGCAGUGGGCAUUUUGGAAACGUCGACGAGUAGCAGUGGCAAAGCAUCUACACUGCCGGCAGCGCAGCAGCCGUCUGCGAAAAAGCGUUUCUUCGGAACGUUGAAGAAGAAACAAGCUUUAUAAAAAAGAAUAUAAUAACCCAGCUGAACGACAAUUCUGAUUUUACAUUUUUGAUCAUGUCUUUUUCAAAAAAAAAGUAUACAUCUAUUAUUAUACAUAUACGCAUCAUUUUUGUGCAUUUAAUUUUUCUGAAUCCGUGAAAGUUUCCAAACAACAGCACAAUAUUCAUUCUUCCUCUUUUUUCAUCAAUUAUAUUUUAUUAUUCGUUAUUCCUGUCUACCGUUUUCUUGCUAUAUUAUUAUUAUUAUUAUAAAAUACAAUACACAGGCCAAUGAACUUGCAAUAGCAUAAUAUUUUUUUUUGUUCAGUUUAGUUUUUUUUUGAAAAUGAACAUUUUUCUUAUUUAAAUAAAUAAUGUGACAUGAUUUUGCUGCUUUUCAUGACGGAUGAUAGACUCAACAAUUUUCACUGGUAGGAGAAGGUAAAUGCGCUGUUGAACGUUGCUGACCCAUAGGAUUAGAAUUCGACUCGUCUGAACUAUCCUCGUUGGCUAGUAUCAAAUCAUCCAUAUCAAUAAGCAAGUCUUGUGCCGGCAGAAGCUCAUCAUGCGUGACAUUUGACGAUUCCGUAAGAUGCGCUUGAGACGAUUUUGCAUAAAUCGUUCGAGACUGUCCUGUAGGCAUACCAUCUGAGUUAGACGAAGAAGAGUCCAUGUUUUCUUCCAUUGCCAUUGCGAUACAUCGACGCAGUCUACCUUCUUUUUCGCUGCAUGUUAUGUAAUCGUUGUCUGACCAGCUUCCACAAACUUCAACUGAUAAUUCCGGUGUUAAAUCGAAGCUUCCUGCACUGCUAGCCUCGACUACAACAGGCACGGCAUUGACAAACUGUCGAUUUGGCACUGGCAUAGGCUGACUUCGAUCCGAACUUUGAACAGCAGAUAACGGCAGUUCCAAGGAGGCGGACUGGAACGGAUCCGUAACUUCGGAACAAGGAUUGGCUCUAAGGGCUGGGCCGAUCGGGCUGAGGUUUCAAGCGUGCAGUGUAUGCUUGGCUGAGUUGUGUUGAGGACUUGUUCACUUGCCGCCGUUUGUUCGGUUGGUCUAGUGUAUUCGAGUCUGAAGCAGAGCUGGCCGACAGACCGGCACGUGCAGAACCUGAGCUGCGCGGCUGUCCGUUUACGUGUACAGACCGUUUCGGUCGGCAUUCAACAGCCAACUUAGAACUGGCACGGACACAAGGAAUCUGACUGUAUAAUUAAAACAAAGCAUUGCGAUGGCCGAUGAUCGGUGAUGACGCAAUGUGAUUUCUGCCCAGUGCUCUGAAUGUCAAAGUGAAGAAAUUCAAUCAAGCGCGGGUAAACGGCGGGAGUAACUAUGACUCUCUUAAGGUAGCCAAAUGCCUCGUCAUCUAAUUAGUGACGCGUAUGAAUGGAUCAACAAGAUUCCUUCUGUCCCUAUCUACUAUCUAGCGAAACCACAGCCAAGGGAACGGGCUUGGCAAAAUCAGCGGGGAAAGAAGACCCUGUUGAGCUUGACUCUAGUCUGACUCUGUGAAGAGACAUGAAAGGUGUAGCAUAGGUGGGAGAUUGUCAAAUUGCCAUCGUUCGCGCGGUGGUCCGGUGAUCGCCAAUGAAAUACCACUACUUUGAUCGUUUCUUUACUUAUUCGGUAAAGCGAAAAAAUUGUGGCCAAUUUGGCGGUUUAUGUCGCUGUUGGUCAUUGUUUUCAUGUUAGAUUGAAGCUUUGUUUACAGCCGUCGCUUUGUGUCGCCAUUUGACGCAUUGUUGUACUGGGUUAUCCCGGUGUGUGGUGUAGUCAGUAUGGAUGAUCGGCGAUAGGUUUGAAGUGAUUCGCUCCGGAAACAGUGUCAGACGGGGAGUUUGACUGGGGCGGUACAUCUGUUAAACGAUAACGCAGGUGUCCUAAGGUAAGCUCAGCGAGGACAGAAACCUCGCUUAGAGUAAACGGGCACAAGCUUACUUGAUUUUGAUUUCCAGUACGAAUAGAAACCGCGAAAGCGUGGCCUAUCGAUCCUUUUGAUUGUGUAGAUUUCAUGCAAGAGGUGUCAGAAAAGUUACCACAGGGAUAACUGGCUUGUGGCAGCCAAGCGUCCAUAGCGACGUUGCUUUUUGAUCCUUCGAUGUCGGCUCUUCCUAUCAUUGCGAAGCAGAAUUCGCCAAGCGUUGGAUCGUUCACCCACCAAUAGGGAACGUGAGCUGGGUUUAGACCGUCGUGAGACAGGUUAGUUUUACCCUACUGAUGACAAGUCGUUGCGAUAGUAAUCCUGCUCAGUACGAGAGGAACCGCGGGAUCAGACAUUUGGUUCAUGCGCUCGGCUGAAAGGCCGGUGGCGCGAAGCUAGCAUCUGCAAGAUUAUGACUGAACGCCUCUAAGUCAGAAUCUUUUCUAGUCAUUGG